rnacentral:lncRNA from 1 species
AUAUAUAUUUUCAUUUUUAAUCAAUAAACCGAACAUUAUUGUACAAGGCCGUUUGACCUCAGACCCAAACCUAACAGAAGCCCAAACCCAACAGAAGCCCAACCCAAACACAAAACAGAAAAAAAAAAAGAGAGAACUAAAAACCCUAGCCUAAUCAGCUGCUGCCGCCCCUGACCCCUGUCCCAUCCACCACCGACGUCUGUAGCACCGCCCUCGUCAAAUCCACCAUCCUCCAAGUUGCACCCCUGCAAGCAUUAAACGAGAGUAGACAGAAAGCAAGUAGCAUGUAAACGGCUAUUUAAAGCCAAAUCUAAAACCAUUGUACGGUCGGCAUUUUUUUUCUUUAACAGAUACAAGCAUUUAGCAGUCAUUUUAUCAACAAGUAUUAGAUUCAAAUACGAGCAUAAAAUCGCAGCAAAGAAAAACAUCAAAGGGGGUUCAAGGAUUUCAAAACAAGGUUUAUCUAUUUUCUUUUUUUUCGGACCUAUUUAUACGUAUCUUUCUUUGUUUUAUAUUGUAAAAAAUAACAUAUACAUACAUAUUCAUAAACUAAAAAAUACAGCAAAAAAUAUAAAUAUUAUACCUGAGGCGAUUUCCGGCCACCGUGUACAGUGGCCGGCGAGGUGGAACGCACGGCAGUGGUUGAGGCCCAGACCCCCUAAUCGGAGUUCAGAGGGAGAGAGCAGAGAGGAGCUUUCAAAUUUUUUUUUUUAAAAAG